rnacentral:rRNA from 1 species
UGGGGAAUAUUGGGCAAUGGGGGCAACCCUGACCCAGCGACGCCGCGUGAGGGAAGAAGGCCUUCGGGUCGUAAACUUCUUUUGUACGUGAAGAAGCAGAUGACGGUAGCGUACGAAUAAGUCCCGGCUAACUACGUGCCAGCAGCCGCGGUAAUACGUAGGGGACGAGCGUUGUCCGGAAUUACUGGGCGUAAAGGGCGCGCAGGCUGCGCGUCGAGUCGGCUGUUAAAGAUCCGGGCUUAACCCGGUGAAGCGGUCGAGACCGACGAGCUGGAGUGCUGCAGAGGCAAGUGGAAUUCCCGGUGUAGCGGUGAAAUGCGUAGAUAUCGGGAAGAACACCGGUGGCGAAGGCGACUUGCUGGGCAGCAACUGACGCUGAGGCGCGAAAGCCAGGGGAGCAAA